GACGGAGGGUGCAAGCGUUGUUCGGAAUUACUGGGCGUAAAGGGCGCGUAGGCGGUCUGCUAAGUUCGGUGUGAAAGCCCCUGGCUCAACUGGGGAACUGCGCCGGAAACUGGCAGACUAGAGUACCGGAGAGGAGGGUGGAAUUCCUGGUGUAGCGGUGAAAUGCGCAGAUAUCAGGAGGAACACCAAUGGCGAAGGCAGCACUCUGGGACGUGACUGACGCUGAGACGCGAAAGCGUGGGGAGCAAACAGG
rnacentral:rRNA from 1 species